rnacentral:rRNA from 1 species
UUAAAGUAGUAAGGGCGCAGGGUGGAUGCCUUGGCACUAAGAGCCGAUGAAAGACGUGAUAAGCUGCGAAAAGCUUCGGGGAGGAGCACAUAUCCAAUGAUCCGGAGAUAUCUGAAUGGGGAAACCCGGCAGAGGAAACCUCUGUCAGCGUGCAGUGAAUACAUAGCUGUACGUGGGGAACCCGGGGAACUGAAACAUCUAAGUACCCGGAGGAAGAGAAAGAAAAUUUAUCGAUUUCCAAAGUAGCGGCGAGCGAAAUGGAAAGAGCCCAAACCGUGAUGCGUGCAUCGCGGGGUUCGGACUGCGUUGUGGCAGACGUAAGAUAGGAGAACGGACUGGGAAGUCCGGCCGGAGAGAGUGAAAGCCUCGUAUCCGAAAUCCCAAGUCGCCUAGCAGGAUCCAGAGUAGGACGAGACACGAGAAACCUUGUCUGAACGAGCGGGGACCACCCCGUAAGGCUAAAUACUUCUUAGUGACCGAUAGCGCAUAGUACUGUGAAGGAAAGGUGAAAAGUACCCCGGGAGGGGAGUGAAAGAGAACCUGAAACCCUGUGUCUACAAGCUGUGGGACCUCUUUAUAUGAGGGACUGCGUACUUUUUGUAGAACGGUCCGGCGAGUUGUGCGUACUGGCGAGGUUAAGGACUUAAGGUCUGGAGCCGAAGUGAAAGCAAGCGUUAAUAGCGCGUCAAGUCAGUGAGUGCAGACCCGAAACCGGGUGACCUAUCCAUGUCCAGGUUGAAGCUUCCGUAAGAGGAAGUGGAGGACCGAACCCACAUCCGUUGAAAAGGGUGGGGAUGAGGUGUGGAUAGCGGAGAAAUUCCAAUCGAACCCGGAGAUAGCUGGUUCUCCUCGAAAUAGCUUUAGGGCUAGCCUCAUGAGAGUCUUAUGGAGGUAGAGCACUGAAUUGCCUAGGGGGCGUCAAAGCUUACCAAAGCAUAUCAAACUCCGAAUGCCAUCAAGAUGAUUCAUGGGAGUCAGACCAUACGAGAUAAGUUGGAUGGUCAAAAGGGAAAGAGCCCAGACCUACAGCUAAGGUCCCAAAGUGCGUGUUAAGUGGAAAAGGAUGUGGGGAUUCUAAGACAACUAGGACGUUGGCUUAGAAGCAGCCAUUCAUUGAAAGAGUGCGUAAUAGCUCACUAGUCGAGAGUCCCUGCGCCGAAAAUGUCCGGGGCUGAAACACGACACCGAAGCUUAGGAAUGUGUAAACAUUGGUAGAGGAGCAUUGCUAGCGGGAUGAAGCCAUACCGUAAGGAGUGGUGGACUGCUAGGAAGAGAGAAUGCCGGAAUGAGUAGCGAGAUGAAGGUGAGAAUCCUUCAGGCCGAAUAUCUAAGGUUUCCAGAGUAAAGCUGAUCUGCUCUGGGUAAGUCGGGACCUAAGGCGAGGUCGAAAGACGUAGUCGAUGGAUAACAGGUUGAAAUUCCUGUACCGCAUAUAAACAGAACUGUGGGGACACAGACAGGGAAUGGAAUCCGGGAAUGGAAAUCCCGGUGCAAGCGAGGUAGGAGUGCUGUUGGCAAAUCCGCAGCAUGAUCUGAAGACGUGACGCGUACCGAACAUAAGUAGGGAAGUCCAGGCCCCUGGCUGUCAAGAAAAGCCGCUAUUGUUUUAUAUGUGCCCGUACCGCAAACCGACACAGGUGGAUGAGGAGAGAAUCCUAAGGCCGACGGGAGAAGUAUUGUUAAGGAACUCGGCAAAAUGACUCCGUAACUUCGGGAGAAGGAGUGCCAUGAGAGUGGCCGCAGAGAAAUGGCCCAAGCAACUGUUUAGCAAAAACACAGGUCUAUGCAAAACCGCAAGGUGAAGUAUAUGGGCUGACGCCUGCCCGGUGCUGGAAGGUUAAGGGGAGAGGUUAGCGCAAGCGAAGCUUUGAACUUAAGCCCCAGUAAACGGCGGCCGUAACUAUAACGGUCCUAAGGUAGCGAAAUUCCUUGUCGGGUAAGUUCC